rnacentral:rRNA from 1 species
UACGUAGGAGGCAAGCGUUGUCCGAAGUUACUGGGCGUAAAGGGCGCGUAGGCGGGGAAGAAAGUCUGCUGUGAAAGCCCGGAGCUUAACUCCGGAGGGUCGGUAGAUACUUUUUCUCUUGAAGCUGCUAGGGGGAGAUGGAAUUACCGGUGUAGCGGUGAAAUGCGUAGAUAUCGGUAGGAACACCUGUGGCGAAGGCGGUCUCCUGGGGCAGACUUGACGCUGAGGCGCGAAAGCUGGGGGAGCGAACGGG